rnacentral:rRNA from 1 species
UACGUAGGUGGCAAGCGUUGUCCGGAAUUAUUGGGCGUAAAGCGCGCGCAGGCGGUUUCUUAAGUCUGAUGUGAAAGCCCACGGCUCAACCGUGGAGGGUCGUUGGAAACUGGGAAACUUGAGUGCAGAAGAGAAGAGCGGAAUUCCACGUGUAGCGGUGAAAUGCGUAGAGAUGUGGGGGAACACCAGUGGCGAAGGCGGCUCUUUGGUCUGUAACUGACGCUGAGGCGCGAAAGCGUGGGGAGCGAACAGG